GAUGAACGCUGGCGGCGUGCCUAAUACAUGCAAGUCGAGCGAACAGACGAGGAGCUUGCUCCUCUGAUGUUAGCGGCGGACGGGUGAGUAACACGUGGAUAACCUACCUAUAAGACUGGGAUAACUUCGGGAAACCGGAGCUAAUACCGGAUAACAUGUUGAACCGCAUGGUUCAACAGUGAAAGACGGUCUUGCUGUCACUUAUAGAUGGAUCCGCGCCGCAUUAGCUAGUUGGUAAGGUAACGGCUUACCAAGGCAACGAUGCGUAGCCGACCUGAGAGGGUGAUCGGCCAAACUGGAACUGAGACACGGGCCAGACUCCUACGGGAGGCAGAAGUAGGGAAUCUUCCGCAAUGGGCGAAAGCCUGACGGAGCAACGCCGCGUGAGUGAAGAAGGUCUUCGGAUCGUAAAACUCUGUUAUGAGGGAAGAAAAAAUGGGUAAGUAAAUAUGCACGUCUUGACGGUACCUAAUCAGAAAGCCACGGCUAACUACGU
rnacentral:rRNA from 1 species